UAGUCUAGGCGGUUAGGAUACGUGGCUUUCACCCACGCGACCCGGGUUCGAGUCCCGG
rnacentral:tRNA from 1 species